AUGAGGCUCCCUGCUCAGCUUCUGGGGCUGCUGUUGCUCUGGUUCCCUGGAUCCACUGGGGAUGUUGUGAUGACUCAGUCUCCACUCUCCCUGCCCGUCACACCUGGAGAGCCAGCCUCCAUCUCCUGCAGGUCUAGUCAGAGCCUCCUGCAUAGUAAUGAAAACACCUACUUGAGUUGGUUUCAGCAGAAGCUGAAAGGCGCCUCCAAGGCGCCUCAUUUAUAAGGUUUCUAAUCGGGACUCUGGGGUCCCAGACAGAUUCACUGGCAGUGGGGCAGGGACAGAUUUCACACUGAAAAUCAGUAGGGUGGAGGCUGAGGAUGUCGGGGUUUAUUACUGCAUGGAAGGUACACAUCAUCCUCGCACACUGGUACAGCCCUGA